rnacentral:lncRNA from 1 species
AUGGUUCAUUACAAUAAUAGACACCAACACAGGAUCUCAACUGUGCCACUGUGACAUUUUGUUUUGAAUCGGAGAGAAUAACGCCUUAGCAGGUGCUGGCUGAUGAUGGCAGUGGCACGCCCUCAUGAAACCAUUAUCACGCUCUCAGGUAUAUUAUAUCAAUUACAGGAGUAAAACAGGAUGGAAGCAGCUGUGGAGAUUCAGAGCUUGCAGGGCUUCUUCGGCAAGCAAUAUUAAUCCAAUCAUAUAAAAUGUAUCCAGCACCAAUAUGGUCUCCGACACUAUAUUAUAUGUCUCUGUCUCUCUUGCAUUCUGGGG